UCAUUCGGUGCGCGCCUCGUCUGUGUUCUUCGUCGCCGCCGCUGCCGCGUCUCUUCGAUGCUUUUGCUCAGAGAAGAGGCUUUGACCUCCAACGCUACCUCGCCCUUCACGACCACUGUGCUGCCACAGGCACGCACACAUACGCAUACACAUCUAUACAUUCAAAAAACGACAGCGACGAUGUUGGUCUCGUUGGCGACUGCAGCAAAAGCUUGUCAAAUGGAGGCUGUGAAGAAAGAGGGUGGCAGUCUCACAAUACACAGCAGCAGCGACGUGCAGUCUGCCUACCCAUGCUGUGUCUCCCCGCUAACACCUAGGAGUCUGCCAACGAUUGGAGGCGGCUGCGCACAGAUUGUAUCCGCAUGCAUGCCCUCUGUGCAUGCAACACAGCGUGGCGGGGAUGGCACUCUCGCCGCACAUGCGUCUCGCCCUUCCCUCCCCACAUCGCGACACGCGCGCACACCACGCGAAUACCUUUUGGUGACUUCCCACCUCUUUCUCUGCGGGUGCGUCUGACACACUCACCGCACCUCUUCCCUUGCUUUCUACCCGCCUUCUUCAACUCGCUCUCUUCUGUCCCGACGCCUCGGAUCCACACACACACACACACACGCUCGGGGGAGUGGGCGUUUCUUGUUUUAUUCUUGGAG
rnacentral:misc_RNA from 1 species